UGGGGAAUAUUGGGCAAUGGGCGCAAGCCUGACCCAGCAACGCCGCGUGAGCGAUGAAGGUCUUCGGAUUGUAAAGCUCUUUAAGUGGGGACGAAGAAAGUGACUGUACCCACAGAAUAAGCUCCGGCUAACUACGUGCCAGCAGCCGCGGUAAUACGUAGGGAGCAAGCGUUAUCCGGAAUGACUGGGCGUAAAGGGUGCGUAGGUGGCUUGGCAAGUUGGUAGCGUAAUUCCGGGGCUUAACUUCGGCGCUACUACCAAAACUGCCGGGCUUGAGUGCAGGAGGGGUGAACGGAAUUCCCAGUGUAGCGGUGGAAUGCGUAGAUAUUGGGAAGAACACCAGCGGCGAAGGCGGUUCACUGGACUGUAACUGACACUGAGGCACGAAAGCGUGGGGAGC
rnacentral:rRNA from 1 species